rnacentral:rRNA from 1 species
UCUUGGCCUAUUGUCAAACUUUGAAUCGGCGCGGGGGCAGGGGUGGUGUGUGAUAGAACCCCCUUGCUGGCACCGCUGCGCCUAGUGGGCCAUUUUUGGUAAGCAGAACUGGCGAUGCGGGAUGAACCGAACGUGCCGCCAAGGUGCCCGAGUGCCCGCUCAUGAGAGACCAUAAAAGGCGUUGGUUCAUCCAGACAGCAGGGCGGUGGCCAUGAAAGUCGGCAUCCGCCAAGGAGUGUGUUAUGACUCACCUGCCGAAUGGACUAGCUCUGAAAAUGGAAGGCGCUGGAGCGGGGGACCGCAGCGGCACAAUCAAGAGGCGUCUUGAUUAGUAGGAGGGCGUGUGGGUUGGGCCGAAGGCAGGUCGUGAGACGUGCUGGACCAGCCUGCAGUGCAGAUCUUGGUGGGAGUAGCAGGUAUUCAAGGAGGAGCCUUGAGGACUGAAGAGGGGAAAGGUUCCGGGGAAGCGCAAUGCGCCCCGGGUGAGUCGGG